rnacentral:lncRNA from 1 species
CACACACACACACACACAGAUUCCUAAUGUCGUCUCUUGAGCCACUUAGCUGCACUUCAGCCUCCUGCUGUGAUGUUUUCCCUCAUCUCAGGCUCUGAGGAAUGGAUUCAGUUAUCUGUGGACUGAGAUCUCUGUGAGGCCCAAAUACACUUUUCCUCCUCUAGAGCUGUUUUGACAGGUCUCUUAGUCAUACCACAGAAAAGGCUGACUAAAACAUCUAGAGAUCAAUAUUGGGAAAUGAACAUAGAGAAACAUAUGUGUUCCUUUGUGUAGAUACACACAUGCUCAGUACACUAAGGGUAUUAUACAACAAUACAUUCUUCUAAACCCAAACAUAAUCCUUCCUUAAAAAAAACUGUAUUUAUUGUUCUUCUUCUUAUUUAGUGUUCCAUCUAUAUCCAAGCACAAACUUGAAAGUCAUAGCCAUUACCUAGAAACUAUUUAUUUAUUGGUUUAUUGUACCAGGGACUGAACUCAGGAACACUUAACCACUGAGCCACACCCCCAACCUGUUUAUAUUAUUAUUUUUUUAUUUAAAGACAGGAUCUUUCUAAGUUGCUUAGGGCCUCACUAAGUUGCUGAGGCUGGGUUUGAACUUGUGAUACUCCUAUCUCAGCUCCUCAAGAUGCUAGGAUUACAGUCGUGCACCACCAUAACCAUCUUAAUUUUAUAUUUAUUUAUGGUUUCAUAUGAUACUUAUUUUACAAUGAACAGUGUUGAAAA